rnacentral:rRNA from 1 species
GACGAACGCUGGCGGCGUGCUUAACACAUGCAAGUCGAACGGAAAGGCCCUGCUUUUGUGGGGUGCUCGAGUGGCGAACGGGUGAGUAACACGUGAGUAACCUGCCCUUUACUUUGGGAUAACUUCAGGAAACUGGGGCUAAUACCGGAUAGGAGCUCCUGCUGCAUGGUGGGGUGUGGAAAGUUUCGGCGGUUGGGGAUGGCCUCGCGGCUUAUCAGCUUGUUGGUGGGGUAGUGGCUUACCAAGGCUUUGACGGGUAGCCGGCCUGAGAGGGUGACCGGCCACAUUGGGAAUGAGAUACGGCCGAGACUCCUACGGGAGGCAGAAGUGGGGAAUAUUGCACAAUGGGCGGAAGCCUGAUGCAGAAACGCCGCGUGCGGGAUGACGGCCUUCGGGUUGUAAACCGCUUUAGCCUGUGACGAAGCGUGAGUGACGGUAAUGGGUAAAGAAGCACCGGCUAACUACGUG